UAAGCAACCUUUCUGUGACCUCCCCCUGAC
rnacentral:piRNA from 1 species